rnacentral:rRNA from 1 species
AUACGAAGGGUGCAAGCGUUAAUCGGAAUUACUGGGCGUAAAGCGCGCGUAGGUGGUUCAGCAAGUUGGAGGUGAAAUCCCCGGGCUCAACCUGGGAACUGCCUCCAAAACUACUGAGCUAGAGUACGGUAGAGGGUAGUGGAAUUUCCUGUGUAGCGGUGAAAUGCGUAGAUAUAGGAAGGAACACCAGUGGCGAAGGCGACUACCUGGACUGAUACUGACACUGAGGUGCGAAAGCGUGGGGAGC